rnacentral:rRNA from 1 species
CUGGACUCAGAACGAACGCUGGCGGCAGGCCUAAACCAUGCAAGUUGAACGGCCAUAGCAAUAUGGCAGUAGCGCAAGGGUGAGUAAUGUAUGGGAACGUAUCUUUUGGUGGGGAAUAUCUUUGGAAACGAAGAGCAAUACCGCAUAAGCCUACGGGGGAAAGAUUUAUCGCCGAUUGAGCGGCCCAUAUUGGAUUAGCUAGUUGGUUGGGUAAUGGCCGACCAAGGCUGUGAUCCCAUAGCUGGUCUGAGAGGACGAUCAGCCACACUGGGACUGAGACACGGCCCAGACUCCUACGGGAGGCAGCAGGUAGGAAUAUUGGACAAGUGGGGGCAACCCUGAUCCCAGCCAUGCCGCGUGAGUGUUAAGGCCUUCGGGUUGUAAAGCUCUUUUGUAUGGGAAAAUGAUGAUGGUACCAUAAGAAUAAGCACCGGCUAACUUCGUGCCAGCCGCUGC